rnacentral:misc_RNA from 1 species
AUGAAACACACACAAAAAGCAAAGAGAAAAACAGAAUAAAACAAAUAAAAUCUAAGCCACACCCAUGUCCAAGUAUCCCCAGUAUACCACAAACAUCUCAUGCACCCUUCACCCUAAUAGUAAAAUAGUAAAUUACUUAUUAAUUAAAGAUAUGCCCCAUUUGCUGUUGGCAGAUCCAACCAUGUUGAAAGGGUCGGGUUCCAGCAACCCAACUCUCCUCCAGUUACCGGAGCCGAAUCCA